AUUGAACGCUGGCGGCAGGCCUAACACAUGCAAGUCGAACGAGUGGCGGACGGGUGUGUAAUGUCUGGGACACUGCCCGAUGGUUGGGGAUACCUACUGGAAACGGUAGCUAAUACCGCCUACCAUCGGAUGUGCCCAGAUGGGAUUAGCUAGUAGGUGGGGUAACGGCUCACCUAGUCGACGAUCCCUAGCUGGUCUGCGAGGAGGACCAGCAACACUGGAACAGAGACACGGUCCAGACUCCUACGGGAGGCAGCAGUGGGGAAUAUUGCACAAUGGGCGGAAGCCUGAUGCAGCCGUGCCGCGUGUAUGAAGAAGGCCUGCGGGUUGUAAAGUACUUGCAGCGAGGAGGCGUUACUCGCAGAAGAAGCACCGGCUAACUCCGUGCCAGCAGCCGCGGUAAUAC
rnacentral:rRNA from 1 species